UAGGGAAUCUUUGGCAAUGGACGAAAGUCUGACCGAGCAACGCCGCGUGAGUGAAGAAGGUUUUCGGAUCGUAAAACUCUGUUGUUAGAGAAGAACAAGUACGUUAGUAACUGAACGUCCCCUGACGGUAUCUAACCAGUAAGCCACGGCUAACUACGUGCCAGCAGCCGCGGUAAUACGUAGGUGGCAAGCGUUGACCGGAUUUAUUGGGCGUAAAGCGAGCGCAGGCGGUUUCGUAAGUCUGAUGUGAAAGCCCCCGGCUCAACCGGGGAGGGUCAUUGGAAACUGGAAGACUUGAGUGCAGAAGAGGGGAGUGGAAUUCCAUGUGUAGCGGUGAAAUGCGUAGAUAUAUGGAGGAACACCGGUGGCGAAGGCAGCUCUCUGGGCUGGAACUGACGCUGAGGCACGAAAGCGUGGGGAGCAAACAGG
rnacentral:rRNA from 1 species